GAUCGGCCACACUGGGACUGAGACACUGCCCAGACUCCUACGGGAGGCUGCAGUCGAGGAUCAUUUGCAAUGGGCGAAAGCCUGACAAUGCGACGCUGCGUGGAGGAUGACAGCCUUCGGGUUGUAAACUCCUGUCAUGGGGGAACAAUUGUCCCGGCACUAAUACUGCCAGGGCUUGAUGGUACCUCAAGAGGAAGCCACGGCUAACUCUGUGCCAGCAGCCGCGGUAAUACAGAGGUGGCUAGCGUUGUACGAAUUUACUGGGCGUAAAGGGUGCGUAGGUGGUUUCGUAUGUCGGACGUGAAAUCCCAUUGCUCAACAAUGGAACUGCGUUCGAAACUGCGGGACUAGAGUACAGGAGGGGAGAGCGGAAUUCUUGGUGUAGCGGUGAAAUGCGUUGAUAUCAAGAAGAACACCGGUGGCGAAGGCGGCUCUCUGGAAUGUUACUGACGCUGAGGCACGAAAGCUGGGGGAUCAAACAGGAUUAGAUACCCUGGUAGUCCCAGCUGUAAACGGUGUGCACUUAGUGUGGGGAGUAUUGACCCUCCCCGUGCCGGAGCUAACGCGUUAAGUGCACCGCCUGGGGAGUACGGCCGCAAGGCUAAAACUCAAAGAAAUUGACGGGGGCCCGCACAAGCGGAGGAGCAUGUGGCUUAAUUCGAUGCAACGCGAAGAACCUUACCAGGGCUUGACAUGCAGCUGCACGUCCGCCGAAAGGUGGAAAGCCUUCGAGGGUGCUGCACAGGUGCUGCAUGGCUGUCGUCAGUUCGUGCCGUGAGGUGUUGGGUUAAGUCCCGCAACGAACGCAACCCUUGUGUUUAGUUGCUAUCGCGGGUGAUGAGCCCGCGAGCACUCUAGACAGACUGCCCGUACAAGCGGGAGGAAGGUGGGGACGACGUCAAGUCAGUAUGGCCCUUACGCCCUGGGCUGCACACGUGCUACAAUGGCCGGUACAGAGGGAUGCAAUACCGCGAGGUGGAGCAAAUCCUGAAAACCGUCCUCAGUUCGGAUUGGAGUCUGCAACUCGACUCCAUGAAGUCGGAUUCGCUAACGGCGCAUCAGCUACGGCGCCGUGAAUACGUUCCCGGGCCUUGUACACACCGCCCGUCACAUCAUGAAAGCCGUCUGCACCCGAAGUCGCCGGGCUAAUCGCUCCCUCGGGAGGGAAGGCAGGUGCCGAAGGUGUGGGUGGUGAUUGGGAUGAA
rnacentral:rRNA from 1 species